rnacentral:rRNA from 1 species
GAUGAACGCUGGCGGCGUGCUUAACACAUGCAAGUCGAACGAAGCACUUUACUUGAUCUCCUUCGGGAUUGAUUGUUCUGUGACUGAGUGGCGGACGGGUGAGUAACGCGUGGAUAACCUGCCUCACACAGGGGGAUAACAGUUGGAAACGGCUGCUAAUACCGCAUAAGCGCACAGCACCGCAUGGUGCAGUGUGAAAAACUCCGGUGGUGUGAGAUGGAUCCGCGUCUGAUUAGCUGGUUGGCGGGGUAACGGCCCACCAAGGCGACGAUCAGUAGCCGGCCUGAGAGGGCGACCGGCCACAUUGGGACUGAGACACGGCCCAGACUCCUACGGGAGGCAGCAGUGGGGAAUAUUGCACAAUGGGGGAAACCCUGAUGCAGCGACGCCGCGUGAGCUGAUGAAGUAUUUCGGUAUGUAAAGCUCUAUCAGCAGGGAAGAUAAUGACG